UUAGUUCAAAACCCACCAAAAGCACACCAUUUGGUGCAAACUAUUUUUUUUUCUUAUCUUCCUCCUCAAAAACCUAGGUGCGUCUUAUCAUCAGGUGCAUCUUAUAAAGUGGAAAAAUACGGUACGUUGAUGGGAAUCCGAUAGGCUUUGGGAUAGGAGCAGUGUGGAAUCAGUAGAGUGUGAAUGAUCCCUUUAAUUACUUUUCACAAAGCAGAAUCUUUUUUAUUUUUUUUCAAAGAAUAAUGAUGGCUCAGUGGUUUGCACUGUUGGGGAUCAUGAAUUGGAAUCCACUCAAAUAUAAACUUGGAGUUUGUAUGUUCUCCUCAAGUUUCUGUGGGUUUCCUUCCACACCAUUCUGAUACAAAAAAAAUAAUUAAAUUAUAGGGGCUCACCCAAUUGCUUCUACGGAUAUGGUGCUCUUGCCAGUUUGACUCACCCUAUCAAAAAUUUCAGUAUGUAGGUAUAUAGAUAAGAGGCAGGCACUCUACAUACAAAGUAUUUAUUGACAACCACAACAUAAAAUAAAAAGUAAAAAAUAAAAAUAAUAUCAUAUUAAAGCAUAUAUAGAAGAGACUCCCCUUGUAUAUGUAGGAUAAAAUAGAAUAGUAUAGCAAUUGUAUAUAUUAUCAAUUAUGCAUCAAAAGCUGUAUGUAUGAUCCCUGAUUUUAUGAUUAUCCACACAGCGAUCGAGAGACAUCCAAUCGAUGACAACUACUCCAUCAUAUUCAUAUAUACACACAAAAGAUCAUGUGAGUUUAUACCAGCAAUCAGCUCUUUCAUAUAUAUGAAUACAUUAGUCUCUUUCUGAGCAGUUCAAGUGCGAUAUUGUUAGUCAAGCUGUUACUUACGGUAGUUCAUCAAAUUAGAUACAUAUCUUCGCAUUGCCUCAUUAGUUAUUUGAGAGUUGCGAUCUUACAAGUCGCAAUAUCGCGCUUAAAUGGAUCACAGUAUAUCACCGUUCUGUCUAUUACCAAUUAAUAGUAGGAUUUGGUGUCAGUAACUACAGUCUGUCCAACGUGGCGUCCCGCGUUGAAUUGAGUCAGUGACUAAUUACCGGGAAGGUCAUAUGAGAACACGUGAGACGCCAAGGUUUGGCGGUACGAACCACGUGGGAUGUGAGGCAUUGGGAACGGCAACACAGAAAGUCACUGCUGGAAGCAGAGCUCGCACGAACUGACCCAACGACAGGGAAGAGGUAAUAGUACACCGAUCGCCACGUGGGACGGUAGUUACUGACACCAAAUCCUACUAUUAACUGGUAAUAGACAGAACGGUGAUAUACUGUGAUCCAUUUAAGCGUGAUAUUGCGACUUGUAAGAUCGCAACUCUCAAAUAACUAUUGAUACAAUACGAAGGUAUGUAUCUAAUUUGAAGAACUAAGUAACAACUUGACUAACAAUAUCGCACUUGAACCGCUCAGAA